rnacentral:rRNA from 1 species
GACGAACGCUGGCGGCGUGCUUAACGCAUGCAAGUCGAACGGAAAGGCUCUGCUUUUGUGGGGUGCUCGAGUGGCGAACGGGUGAGUAACACGUGAGUAACCUGCCCUUGACUUUGGGAUAACUUCAGGAAACUGGGGCUAAUACCGGAUAGGAGCUCCUGCUGCAUGGUGGGGGUUGGAAAGUUUCGGCGGUUGGGGAUGGACUCGCGGCUUAUCAGCUUGUUGGUGGGGUAGUGGCUUACCAAGGCUUUGACGGGUAGCCGGCCUGAGAGGGUGACCGGCCACAUUGGGACUGAGAUACGGCCCAGACUCCUACGGGAGGCAGCAGUGGGGAAUAUUGCACAAUGGGCGGAAGCCUGAUGCAGCAACGCCGCGUGCGGGAUGACGGCCUUCGGGUUGUAAACCGCUUUCGCCUGUGACGAAGCGUGAGUGACGGUAAUGGGUAAAGAAGCACCGGCUAACUACGUG